rnacentral:pre_miRNA from 1 species
GUUUUUUCCAUCUCUAAAGAUGAUGAAUGUUUCUUUUAUUCGUCGUAUUUUAGAGAUGAAAGAAACAUUCAUCAUCUUUAGAGAUGGAAGAA